GUUUGCAUUACUUCUCCAAGUGAGGGCAGUGAGGCCCUGAAUGGAAGUACUCUUGCUUGACUCAGCAAAGUGAUGCAAAUUAAAAAAAAAAAUAAGUUUACUAGUGGAAGUUAGUCUCUUUAUCUCUUAAUUUGAUUUGAGCAUGUAAUGUCUUUGACAUCAUAUAGCUUAUUUAAUGACCUAACGUUUUAAGGCUAGGAGUUGUUUUGUUGUUGUUUUCUUUGCCACACCCACAGUAUGGGGAAGUUCCCUGGCCAGAGAUCGAACCCAUGCCACAGCAGUGACAACAUCAGAUUGAUCCUUAACCUGCUGAACCACCAGAGAACUCCUAGGAGCCAUUUUCAUGCCCCCCUCCCACUCUUUUUUUUUUUUCCUCUUUAUGGCCACUCUUGUAGCAUAUGGAAGUUCCCAGGCUCGGGGUCGAAUCGGAGCUGUAGCCACUGGCCUACGCCAGAGCCCCAGCAAAGCAGGAUCCGAGCCGCAUCUGCAACCUACACCACAGCUCACAGCAAUGCCGGAUCCUUAACCCACUGAGCAAGGGCAGGACUGAACCCGCAACCUCAUGGUUCCUAGUCGAUUCGUUAACCACUGCGCCAUGAUGGGAACUCCUGGAAUAGUUUUUUAAUUAGUCUCUCUUCCUCUGGUCUGUGUCCCAUGAUCCACCUGCUGGUAUUAACUGGAUGCUCUCUGGGCACUUUGCGUGUGUCAUCCAUUCCUCAGCAGCAGCUUGUAAGGGAGCUGCUGCUACUGUGUUCAUUCUCCAGAUUGGGAAGCUGAGGCUGAUGGGAGCUGAAUAAUUUGCCCAAAGUCAGAUCCUUAAUAACAUGUCCAGGUCCUCUGCUACUAGUCUAGCUCUUUGUCAUCUCCCUGUGCCGCUUGCUGAAAGCCAGACCUGGUCAUGUCACUCCUUUCGUUAUAAAAACGAAGUGCCUCCUCUGUUCAGUGGGCACAGUGAAGGUGGACACCUCCCUGCCCUCCUUGAGGUGUCCUGCUGGUGAAGGAAACAGGCACCACACACGUAAAGGCAAACGAAAAACGGAGUUAGCAGUCAAAGGUGGCGAAGCUUCCUUGAGUUAACGGAACUCUGUGGUGGUGUCUAGUUAAAUAGCCACCUUCCACAUCUCCCUGCUGAGGCUGCCCAGUGACACCUUGGGGCUUAGAGAAGCCCAGCAGCAGAAGAAAUGCACCUGCCUUCUUCGUUAGCCCAGCCAGUCUUCCCCAGAAUCACGCGACCACAAACACCUCCUGGUAGUUCAGUGAAGGGCUUGGGGGUGUGGAAAGAGAGGGUGCCUCGUCAUUCAGAAGAGAGAGGAUGAUGGCACCCUUGGGGUCCGGCAGGACUUUAUUUAAAAGGGGUCCUGGAAGGCUGAUAGGAUUUGGCUGAACAGAAGGGAUAUCUACAAGGAGACACGUUUAGGAAACAUUUUGGAAAGUGCCUC
rnacentral:lncRNA from 9 species